AAAGCCAUGCACGAGCACUGGAAAAGAGAUGGGUAGCUUGUGUCAGCAUUUAGAAACACCUGCUACCAUGCAAACUUACUGAAGGAGGAAUCUAGAAACUUCCUUGGACAGUUCUUUAUUCAUCUGGAGUCAGGAGACUGAAAACAAUAAUACAUGGGGUUUCUACAAUAUCUUUCAAAGCGAACUACAAAAUCUGAGUAAACUUUAUAAUGUUCUUUUAGGUAAUUGUGAUGCAUAUACAGUUCUGCCUGCCAGUCCAUGUCCUAGAAAAGAUGGUUAAAAAUCUACUAAAGUUAACAUAUGUAUGAUUUGCAAUGAGUAUGUGGAAAUUACCAGAAAUUGCAUGAUACUUCAAAACUAUCAGUGAAAAAAUCUGCUAAAGCAAUAUAAAGGAGUUUUCACCAUCCCAAAAGAAUGCAUCAAAUGUUAUUCCAAGCACACGGGAGAUAUGAAAUCUGAAGCUCUGGAGUUAGAUACCCUGCAGAAAACAAAGCACAGGAUGGAAAUCAACAUUACUGCACCUUUGUGUGUGGGUGAAGAGAAGUUGUCUUCUGAAAGGUUCACAUUCAGAAUUGCUGAUGGAGUCCAUCUGGACUGCAAGAACAACCAGUACAUGGACAGUUUGCUUAACAAGGCUGUGAACGAGCUUAAACCAAUGAAUUUCUGAUUAAGACUAAACUGCGAUGCAUGAAAUUUUUGCUUGUGUUUGUUUCCCAAGGAAUCCUCAACAGUUUUCUCUAGGCCUCUUUGUCUAGACAAAAGUAAAAUGCUUCCUAGAUAUAUAACUCACUGAUAGCAGCCUUCAAUGGGCACUUGGGCAAACUAAGGUAAGGGGGAACUUGAACAAAAAGACACAGAGAUACAAUCUAGGGAGCAUGAUCUCACCCAUUUAGGAAGAAGACACCUGGACUUAACCUCACAGCCAUGCUCUGGAAAGAGCAGACACUGUGAAGAAGACCAUGUUCUUCUUCCCUCGACCACCGAAGUCCCUCACUCUAUUUUUACUAUGCAUGCUCGGACUGUGUAAAUGAAUUUCAGGAAUUCAUUAUCAUAAGACA